UCGCCUGGUCGCCCGGCCCGACUACGCCGCCGGCUACGAGCUGGUCGUGCUGUUGCUGGCCGGCAUGGUGCUGGCGUUCGGGCUGCCUCUGGUGGGC
rnacentral:tRNA from 1 species